rnacentral:lncRNA from 1 species
AGGGGCUGGUGGAAGAGCUUGAGAAGAAAGCGCACCCUGUCAAGGGACGUGAUGAUAUCAAAGGUAUCAUAACCUGACGUGAUGAUAUCAAAGGUAUCAUAACCUUGAUGUGGAUAUGCUUCUAACUGCUGUUGCAUUUUUUGUUUUCGGAUGAUCAGCUACUUUGUGAGGUCAGGAGUUGUAUUGCACUUUAAAAAGUGUUCGCCUAUCAAGUGUUAAAACUAAUGGUAUUACUAAUUUAGUUCCUUGUAAAUAGGUUUUGUUUUUACUGAA